rnacentral:rRNA from 1 species
AGCGAACGCUGGCGGCAGGCCUAACACAUGCAAGUCGAACGGAUCCUUCGGGAUUAGUGGCGGACGGGUGAGUAACACGUGGGAACGUGCCCUUUGGUUCGGAACAACUCAGGGAAACUUGAGCUAAUACCGGAUGUGCCCUUCGGGGGAAAGAUUUAUCGCCAUUGGAGCGGCCCGCGUCUGAUUAGCUAGUUGGUGAGGUAAAGGCUCACCAAGGCUACGAUCAGUAGCUGGUCUGAAAGGAUGAGCAGCCACAUUGGGACUGAGACCCGGCCCAAACUCCUACGGGAGGCAGCAGUGGGGAAUCUUGCGCAAUGGGCGAAAGCCUGACGCAGCCAUGCCGCGUGAAUGAUGAAGGUCUUAGGAUUGUAAAAUUCUUUCACCGGGGACGAUAAUGUCGGUACCCGGAUAAGAAGCCCCGGCUAACUUCGUGCCAGCCGCCGCCGUAACAC